rnacentral:rRNA from 1 species
GAUGAACGCUAGCGGCAGGCUUAACACAUGCAAGUCGAGGGGUAUAGUUCUUCGGAACUAGAGACCGGCGCACGGGUGCGUAACGCGUAUGCAAUCUACCUUUUGCAGAGGGAUAGCCCAGAGAACUUUGGAUUAAUACCUCAUAGUAUGUGAGAAUGGCAUCAUUUUCACAUUAAAGUCACAACGGCAAAAGAUGAGCAUGCGUCCCAUUAGCUUGUUGGUAAGGUAACGGCUUACCAAGGCAACGAUGGGUAGGGGUCCUGAGAGGGAGAUCCCCCACACUGGUACUGAGACACGGACCAGACUCCUACGGGAGGCAGCAGUGAGGAAUAUUGGACAAUGUGCGCAAGCCUGAUCCAGCCAUGCCGCGUGCAGGAUGAAGGGGCUCUGCCUUGUAAACUUCUUUUGUCUGGGGCGAAAAAGCUCGAUUUAUCGAGAACUGACGGUACCAGAAGAAUAAGCACCGGCUAACUCCGUGCCAGCAGCCGCAGUAAUAC